GUGAAUCAUCGAAUCUUUGAACGCAAAUUGCACUCUCUUCGGAGAGUAUGCCUGUUUGAGGGUCAGCCUAAAAAAAAAUCGACAUAGUCGCUGUUUCGCGGUGACAUUCGUCGGAAAUUGGGUCAUCUUUAACCUUUGGGUUUUAAGCGUCUCUAAAUUUUCUUUACGAUUCCACGAACGUCUCAAAGAUUUACUUUUUAUACGUUUAAGGUAAUGAUCUUUAUUAGACGUGGCCGUUUCAUAGGAUUUCGUCCAUAAAUAUUUUGUUACAUGACUCCAGACAG
rnacentral:misc_RNA from 1 species